CCUACGGGUGGCAGCAGUGAGGAAUAUUGGUCAAUGGACGGAAGCCUGAACCAGCCAAGUAGCGUGCAGGAUGACGGCCCUACGGGUUGUAAACUGCUUUUAUACGGGAAUAACGCGCCUUACGUGUAGGGCUUUGCAUGUACCGUAUGAAUAAGGACCGGCUAAUUCCGUGCCAGCAGCCGCGGUAAUACGGAGGAUCCGGGCGUUAUCCGGAUUUAUUGGGUUUAAAGGGAGCGUAGGCGGCAUGUCAAGCGUGGUGUGAAAGGUCCGGGCUCAACCCGGGCCUUGCAGUGUGAACUGGCGGGCUGGAGUCCGCGGAAGGCAGGCGGAAUUCGUCGUGUAGCGGUGAAAUGCUUAGAUAUGACGAAGAACCCCGAUUGCGAAGGCAGCUUGCUGCAGCGGAACUGACGCUGAUGCUCGAAAGCGCGGGUAUCGAACAGGAUUAGAUACCCGUGUAGUC
rnacentral:rRNA from 1 species